ACCUGUAGCGUUUGCGGGUAUGGGUUCAAGUCUUAUACCCAUCUGAACAGGCACAUCAAAUCGGUCCACCAGGACGUGCGGUUCAAGUGCGACCACUGCGAGAUAUCGUACGGACGAAAGGACAAACUGCGGAUGCACAUGGAGAAGACUCAUAAUAUCCAAACAUACUUCGUAUGUGAUGUUUGCCUUCAAUCGUACAACUGCAAAGAAAAGCUAGACGACCACAAGACGCACCACGAGCAUCCGAAACCGCUGCAGUGUGGAGUGUGUCUGGCCGCUCAUGUGACGCCCGAAGAGUACCAG